GGCAAGACCGAAUUCAGAAGGAUAUCGACGUCGUGAUCCAGAAGUCCAGAGCUGAGGACUGCCUGUUUGCAG
rnacentral:lncRNA from 1 species